AGCAGAUUUCAGGCGUUCUUUUAACCGCCCCGAUGCCGAAACCAACAGAAAACACAAGAAAGUGAUAUCCACCAAUGAAGAGAGACACCAAAAUACUUAACAAAACACUAGCGAAGAAAGUCAAAUCCAACCGUUGCCGAGUGGGUUUAACCCAGGAAUACAAGCAUUUGGUUAGAGGCGCGUCAAGUGAGCCAUCUGAACAGCAGACAGCUUCCUGGGUCUUCAUGGUCAUUUUAUGCAGUCUAGAGGAUGGAGAUGCGCAUCCCACCCUGAGAAUACGGAGCCCUGGACAGGAGGAGGAGAAGAGGGGACAGCCAGAGGAGCACAGUGGACGUGUGGGCUCAUGGGAGCUGUUUGCAGCACAAGACAGGAAUGGCAGCCACAAGGAC
ensembl:lncRNA